CCUACGGGUGGCAGCAGUGAGGAAUAUUGGUCAAUGGGCGCGAGCCUGAACCAGCCAAGCCGCGUGAAGGAUGACUGCCCUACGGGUUGUAAACUUCUUUUAUAAGGGAAUAAAGUGAGGCACGUGUGCCUUUUUGUAUGUACCUCACGAAUAAGGCUCGGCUAACUCCGUGCCAGCAGCCGCGGUAAUACGGAGGGUCCGAGCGUUAUCCGGAUUUUUUGGGUUUAAAGGGAGCGUAGAUGGGUUGUUAAGUCAGUUGUGAAAGUGUGCGGCUCAACCGUAAAAUUGCAAUUGAUACUGGCAGCCUUGAGUACGGUUGAGGUAUGCGGAAUUCGUGGUGUAGCGGUGAAAUGCUUAGAUAUCACGAAGAACUCCGAUUGCGAAGGCAGCUUACUAGACUGCCACUGACAUUGAUGCACGAAAGUGUGGGUAUCAAACAGGAUUAGAUACCCGUGUAGUC
rnacentral:rRNA from 1 species